UACGUAGGGGGCAAGCGUUAUCCGGAUUUACUGGGUGUAAAGGGAGCGUAGACGGCAGUGCAAGUCCGGAGUGCAAGCCCGGGGCUCAACCCUGGGACUGCUCUGGAAACUGUAAAGCUGGAGUGCGGGAGGGGCAGGCGGAAUUCCUGGUGUAGCGGUGAAAUGCGUAGAUAUCAGGAGGAACACCGGCGGCGAAGGCGGCCUGCUGGACCGUAACUGACGUUGAGGCUCGAAAGCGUGGGGAGCAAACAGG
rnacentral:rRNA from 1 species